rnacentral:rRNA from 1 species
GACGGAGGAUGCAAGUGUUAUCCGGAAUCACUGGGCGUAAAGCGUCUGUAGGUGGUUUAAUAAGUCAACUGUUAAAUCUUGAGGCUCAACCUCAAAAUCGCAGUCGAAACUAUUAGGCUAGAGUAUAGUAGGGGUAAAGGGAAUUUCCAGUGGAGCGGUGAAAUGCGUAGAGAUUGGAAAGAACACCAACGGCGAAAGCACUCUGCUGGGCCGACACUGACACUGAGAGACGAAAGCUAGGGGAGCAAAUGGG